UACGAAGGGGGCUAGCGUCGUUCGGAUUUACUGGGCGUAAAGCGCACGUAGGCGGAUCGUUAAGUUAGGGGUGAAAUCCUGGAGCUCAACUCCAGAACUGCCCUUAAUACUGGCGAUCUCGAGUCCGGAAGAGGUGAGUGGAACUCCUAGUGUAGAGGUGGAAUUCGUAGAUAUUAGGAAGAACACCAGUGGCGAAGGCGGCUCACUGGUCCGGUACUGACGCUGAUGUGCGAAAGCGUGGGGAGCAAACAGG
rnacentral:rRNA from 1 species